rnacentral:rRNA from 1 species
CCUACGGGAGGCUGCAGUGGGGAAUUUUGGACAAUGGGCGCAAGCCUGAUCCAGCUAUUCCGCGUGUGGGAAGACGGCCUUCGGGUUGUAAACCACUUUUGUAGAGGACGAAAAGUCUGUUGAUAAUACCGAUAGAUGAUGACGGUACUCUAAGAAUAAGCACCGGCUAACUACGUGCCAGCAGCCGCGGUAAUACGUAGGGUGCGAGCGUUAAUCGGAAUUACUGGGCGUAAAGGGUGUGCAGGCGGUGUUGCAAGAUGGAUGUGAAAGCCCCGGGCUUAACCUGGGAAAGCCAUACAUGACUGCAAGACUAGAGUGCGUCAGAGGGGGGUGGAAUUCCAAGUGUAGCAGUGAAAUGCGUAGAUAUUUGGAAGAACACCGAUGGCGAAGGCAGCCCCCUGGGACGCAACUGACGCUCAUACACGAAAGCGUGGGGAUCGAACAGGAUUAGAUACCCCUGUAGUC